CUGGAAUGGGUAAUGACUCAAAUCUACAUGGCCCCUGGAUUGGACUGCGGCCGAUCAGGCUGUUGGUGAGGUAAUGGCCCACCAAACCUGUAACCGGUACGGGCUCUGAGAGGAGGAGCCCGGAGAUGGGCACUGAGACAAGGGCCCAGGCCCUAUGGGGCGCAGCAGGCGCGAAACCUCUGCAAUAGGCGAAAGCCUGACAGGGUUACUCUGAGUGAUUUCCGUUAAGGAGAUCUUUUGGCACCUCUAAAAAUGGUGCAGAAUAAGGGGUGGGCAAGUCUGGUGUCAGCCGCCGCGGUAAUACCAGCACCCCGAGUGGUCGGGACGUUUAUUGGGCCUAAAGCAUCCGUAGCCGGUUCUACAAGUCUUCCGUUAAAUCCACCUGCUUAACAGAUGGGCUGCGGAAGAUACUAUAGAGCUAGGAGGCGGGAGAGGCAAGCGGUACUCGAUGGGUAGGGGUAAAAUCCGUUGAUCCAUUGAAGACCACCAGUGGCGAAGGCGGCUUGCCAGAACGCGCUCGACGGUGAGGGAUGAAAGCUGGGGGAGCAAACCGGAUUAGAUACCCGGGUAGUCCCAGCUGUAAACGAUGCAGACUCGGUGAUGAGUUGGCUUCUUGCCAACUCAGUGCCGCAGGGAAGCCGUUAAGUCUGCCGCCUGGGGAGUACGGUCGCAAGACUGAAACUUAAAGGAAUUGGCGGGGGAGCACCACAAGGGGUGAAGCCUGCGGUUCAAUUGGAGUCAACGCCGGG
rnacentral:rRNA from 1 species